CACGGGUUGAGCUCUUUCCUGCUGCCUUGAGCCUGAGGCAGGCUAUUCUUCCUGUGCGGCUCCACAGCUUCAGGCCAGCCCCCUCCCCGCUCAAAUCCCUGAGGCAGAGCUCCUCUGAAGAAGACUUCCGAUAUUAGGUUGCCUGGGCCCAGCUUGAAUCAGGCACCCCCAGCCGAGUCGCCCUCCAGGGGAUGGAAUACGGGACUCCCAGCCCCGGAAAACGGAGUCCGCCUGAGCCACGGGACUCGGAUGGAAGGCAAGUGAAGCCUGAUACCUCAGUGCAGAUACGUGGCUGGCUUUGUUGCAGGAUUUUCCUUAGUUUAGCUAAAGACGGGAUCUUGUCCAUCCCAUGGCCAUGAAAAUUUAGGCUCACAGACGCUUUAAAGGGUUCCACACAGGAAGAGGCGGUUCCCAGGUUCCACACAGGAAGAGGCGGUUCCCAGGUUCCACACAGGAAGAGGCGGUUCCCAGGUUCCACACAGGAAGAGGCGGUUCCCAGGUUCCACACAGGAAGAGACGCCCAGGUUCCACACAGGAAGAGACGCCCAGGUUCCACACAGGAAGAGGCGGUUCCCAGGUUCCACACAGGAAGAGGCGGUUCCCAGGUUCCACACAGGAAGAGGCGGGGCGAGGCUCCUCCCUGCUGCAAAGGUCACAAACCUCGAGGCUUCGUCUCAGCGGGCGGGCUGGUUCUCCAGGGACCCCCUCCCACCUGGCUGUCUCAACUUGAGCAGCUGUCCAUGCUGGGGUGCCCGCCAGGGGUGUGGGAACCACUCCCAAGAGGCCUAGCAGUCCCAGCACUGACCAGGGUUGACCCGAGGAGUAACCUGCCUCCCCCGGAAAACCUGAGCUGUCUUCUUCCCACCUCAGUCACCACCCAGAUGUGAAGUAAUGCAAAAGGCUCAACGUGGUCAAAAGAGCCCCGUUAGCCAGAAUCUAGCCUCGGUUGCAAAGCAGCUUAACAUGCAACAGCUCCCUACACGUUCUCCUGACCCCACCCUCCACCAACCCCCAAAGGCAGAAGCCAUGAAGUCAGGACAAAGAAGGGUGGUGGCCAUGAUAUCCCAUUGUUCUACAGGUACAGGACCACACAACGAGGACAAAAUAAGACGUUUAAAUAUUCGAAAGAGCUGUCUCUACUAUAAUGUAGAUGAUACAUUUAUAAACCUGGAAAACUCACAAGAAUGGACUGUGAAGGUAUUAAAAAUAAUAAGAUAAUCUACUUGGGAGGCUGAGGCAGGAGAAUCACUUGAACCAGGGAGUCGGAGGUUGCAGUGAGCCAAGAUUGUGCCACUGGACUCCAUCCUGGUAACAGAGCAAAAAUAAACAAAUAUAAUAUAAUAUAAUAAUAAAAUUAUACUAAAUGAUGUGAAAGUUUUGGUUAAAUAAUAUAUUUUGUUUUUUAAUACAAUGUCAACACGAAUUUUAAAAAUAUUAUACCAGUUUUAGUACUGUUCUCCCAAAAUUCAGGUCCUUCCUGUAACUUCAGAGUGUGGCUUUAUUAGGAAACAGGGUCAUUGCACAUGUAAUUUAAGAUGUGGUCUUAGUACAGCAGGAUGUGUCCUUAAUCUGACACAACUGGUGUCCUCAUAAGACAAGGACAAGAAACAGAGAAACACCAGGGAAGAUGCUGUGUGAAGGUGGAGACACAGAUUGGAGUGAUGUGUCUGCAGGUCAGAAAACACCAAGGGUUGCCGGCAAAAUCAGAAGCCAAGAGAAAGGCAUGGACCAGAUUCACCCCUAGGACCUUCAGAAAGACCAUGGGCUUCCAGUACCUUCACGUUGGACUCCAGCCUCCAGAACUGUGAGAAAAUACAUUCUUACUGUCUUCAGACGCGCAGUUUGCGGUCAUUUGUUACGGCAGUCUUAGCACACUAAUAAGGAUCUCAGUUCUUCCCAUGUUGGCUACAAGGUUAAUUCGAUCCUGAUCAAAGUCCUAAAAAGGUUUGUUUGGGUUUGAGGUUUUGUGCUUUGACUUGUUGUUCAGUUGGUUGGUUGGUUUUUUGUUUGGUUUAAGAUAGUGUUUUCUAUUUUUUUCCUCUUGUUUUUGCUUUUUUGGAAGGGUAAGAGACUUAAAUGUCAACGUAUCAGAAUGAAAACAGAGUUAGAUCCAGGAAAUUUCUGAAAAAGAGAAGUAACAGAGCAGGACCAGCACUCCCUUCCAGGGAGUGGCCCCGCUGCUGAGAGGGAGGGCCCGGGACAGAAGACGGAGUUCCAAAAUAGGCUAAGUAUAAACGGGGAUUUAGUACACAACGGGGGAGGAAUGUCAAAUCAGUGGGCAAA
rnacentral:lncRNA from 10 species